UACGGGGGUGCGAGCGUUGUCCGGAAUCACUGGGCGUAAAGGGCGCGUAGGUGGUGUCGUAAGUCUGUGGUGAAAGCCCGGGCUCAACCCCGGGUCUGCCGCGGAGACUGCGAGACUCGAGUACUGUAGGGGCUGGUAGAAUGCCGGGUGUAGCGGUGGAAUGCGUAGAGAUCCGGCGGAAGACCGGUGGCGAAGGCGGCCAGCUGGGCAGUGACUGACACUGAGGCGCGACAGCGUGGGGAGCAAACAGG
rnacentral:rRNA from 1 species